rnacentral:lncRNA from 13 species
CACAGUGAUUUGUGCUAAGUAUGCAAUGUAAUGUAAUUUUUAGUUGACCUUCAACCUACCUUUGAUUGGUACUCUUUAAGAACUUUAUCAAUUUUCAUUUUAUUUCAAUUACACCAAUAGAAAAUAAACACAUUUUUCUUGUAAAAGAGUCACACAAUCCUAAAGUGUCUAGAGAAAUACUCUCCUAUACUCCAUGUGGUAGACAGAAUAAUGGCCCCUCACCCCUAAAAAUGUCAUACUCUAAUUCCUGAAGCUUGUGACUAUUAUUACUUAAAUUGCAGCUUCGCUGAUGUCAUUAAGUCAAGGAUCUUGAGAUAGGAAGAUUAUCCUGGAUUAUCCAGGUGGAUACAGUGUAAUCUCAAAGAUCCAUAGAGAAGGGAGGCAAGAGGGUCAGAGUCAGAAAAAACAACUGGACAAUCAAAGCAGAGACUGGAGUGAUAUGAAGGAGGGGCCAUACUCACGGGAUGCAGGUGGCCUCUGGAAGCUGGGAAAAGUGAGAAGAACAGACUUCAGGAGGCAAGAGUGCAGGGCAUGCUGUGACACCUGACAGUGGCUAAAUAAAUAAAGGGAAAAUGUUGACUGUGUAGCUUGA